rnacentral:rRNA from 1 species
GACGAACGCUGGCGGCGUGCUUAACACAUGCAAGUCGAACGGAAAGGCCCUGCUUUUGCGGGGUGCUCGAGUGGCGAACGGGAGAGUAACACGUGAGUAACCUGCCCUUGACUUUGGGAUAACUUUAGGAAAUUGGGGCUAAUACCGGAUAGGAGCUCCUGCAGCAUGGUGGGGGUUGGAAAGUUUCGGCGGUUGGGGAUGGACUCGUGGCAUAUCGGCUUGUUGGUGGGGUAGUGGCUUACCAAGGCUUUGCAGGGUAGCCGGCCUGGGAGGGUGACCCGCCACGUUAGGACUGAGAUGCGGCCCAGACUCCUACGGGACGCAACGGUGGAGAGUAUUGCACAAUGGGCGGAAGCCAGAUGCAGCAACGCCGCGUGCGGGAUGUCAGCCUUCGGGUUGGGAACCACUUUCGUCUGAGACGAAACGUGAAUGACGGUAAUGGGUAAAGAAGCACCGGCUAACUACGUG